rnacentral:rRNA from 1 species
AACGCUGGCGGCGUGCUUAACACAUGCAAGUCGAACGGAAAGGCCCUGCUUUUGUGGGGUGCUCGAGUGGCGAACGGGUGAGUAACACGUGAGUAACCUGCCCUUGACUUUGGGAUAACUUCAGGAAACUGGGGCUAAUACCGGAUAGGAGCUCCUGCUGCAUGGUGGGGGUUGGAAAGUUUCGGCGGUUGGGGAUGGACUCGCGGCUUAUCAGCUUGUUGGUGGGGUAGUGGCUUACCAAGGCUUUGACGGGUAGCCGGCCUGAGAGGGUGACCGGCCACAUUGGGACUGAGAUACGGCCCAGACUCCUACGGGAGGCAGCAGUGGGGAAUAUUGCACAAUGGGCGGAAGCCUGAUGCAGCAACGCCGCGUGCGGGAUGACGGCCUUCGGGUUGUAAACCGCUUUCGCCUGUGACGAAGCGUGAGUGACGGUAAUGGGUAAAGAAGCACCGGCUAACUACGUGCCAGCAGCCGCGGUGAUACGUAGGGUGCGAGCGUUGUCCGGAUUUAUUGGGCGUAAAGGGCUCGUAGGUGGUUGAUCGCGUCGGAAGUGUAAUCUUGGGGCUUAACCCUGAGCGUGCUUUCGAUACGGGUUGACUUGAGGAAGGUAGGGGAGAAUGCAAUUCCUGGUGGAGCGGUGGAAUGCGCAGAUAUCGGGAGGAACACCCAGUGGCGAAGGGGGGUUUUUCUGGGCCUUUCCUGACGCUGAGGAGCGAAAAGCGUGGGGAGCGAACAGGUUUAGAUACCCUGGUAGUCCACGCUGUAAACGGUGGGUACUAGGUGUGGGGGUCCAUUCCACGGGUUCCGUGCCGUAGCUAACGCUUUAAGUACCCCGCCUGGGGAGUACGGCCGCAAGGCUAAAACUCAAAGGAAUUGACGGGGCCCCGCACAAGCGGCGGAGCAUGCGGAUUAAUUCGAUGCAACGCGUAGAACCUUACCUGGGUUUGACAUGGAUCGGGAGUGCUCAGAGAUGGGUGUGCCUCUUUUGGGGUCGGUUCACAGGUGGUGCAUGGCUGUCGUCAGCUCGUGUCGUGAGAUGUUGGGUUAAGUCCCGCAACGAGCGCAACCCUUGUUCACUGUUGCCAGCACGUUAUGGUGGGGACUCAGUGGAGACCGCCGGGGUCAACUCGGAGGAAGGUGGGGAUGACGUCAAGUCAUCAUGCCCCUUACGUCCAGGGCUUCACGCAUGCUACAAUGGCUGGUACAGAGAGUGGCGAGCCUGUGAGGGUGAGCGAAUCUCGGAAAGCCGGUCUCAGUUCGGAUUGGGGUCUGCAACUCGACCUCAUGAAGUCGGAGUCGCUAGUAAUCGCAGAUCAGCAACGCUGCGGUGAAUACGUUCCCGGGGCUUGUACACACCGCCCGUCAAGUCAUGAAAGUUGGUAACACCCGAAGCCGGUGGCCUAACCGUUGUGGGGGAGCCGUCGAAGGUGGGACUGGUGAUUAGG